rnacentral:rRNA from 1 species
GAUGAACGCUGGCGGCGUGCUUAACACAUGCAAGUCGAACGAUGAAGCCCAGCUUGCUGGGUGGAUUAGUGGCGAACGGGUGAGUAACACGUGAGUAACCUGCCCUUAACUCUGGGAUAAGCCUGGGAAACUGGGUCUAAUACCGGAUAGGAGCGUCCACCGCAUGGUGGGUGUUGGAAAGAUUUAUCGGUUUUGGAUGGACUCGCGGCCUAUCAGCUUGUUGGUGAGGUAAUGGCUCACCAAGGCGACGACGGGUAGCCGGCCUGAGAGGGUGACCGGCCACACUGGGACUGAGACACGGCCCAGACUCCUACGGGAGGCAGCGGUGGGGAAUAUUGCACAAUGGGCGCAAGCCUGAUGCAGCGACGCCGCGUGAGGGAUGACGGCCUUCGGGUUGUAAACCUCUUUCAGUAGGGAAGAAGCGAAAGUGACGGUACCUGCAGAAGAAGCACCGGCUAACUACGUG